rnacentral:rRNA from 1 species
ACGGGGAGCACCACAACAGGUGGAGCCUGCGGUUUAAUCGGACUCAACGCCGGGAAACUCACCAGAUAAGACAGCUGAAUGAUAGUCGGGCUGAAGACUCUACUUGACUAGCUGAGAGGAGGUGCAUGGCCGUCGUCAGUUCGUACUGUGAAGCAUCCUGUUAAGUCAGGCAACGAGCGAGACCCACGCCAACAGUUGCCAGCUCGUCCUCCGGGAUGGAGGGGACACUGUUGGGACCGCCUCUGCUAAAGAGGAGGAAGGAAUGGGCAACGGUAGGUCAGCAUGCCCCGAAUUAUCUGGGCUACACGCGGGCUACAAUGGGUGGGACAAUGGGUAUCGACACCGAAAGGUGAAGGCAAUCUCCUAAACCCAUCCUUAGUUCGGAUUGUGGGCUGCAACUCGCCCACAUGAAGCUGGAAUCUGUAGUAAUCGUGUUUCAAAAUAGCACGGUGAAUAUGUCCCCUGCUCCUU